UACGGAGGGUGCAAGCGUUAUCCGGAUUCACUGGGUUUAAAGGGUGCGUAGGUGGAUUGGUAAGUCAGUGGUGAAAUCUCCGGGCUUAACCCGGAAACUGCCAUUGAUACUAUCAGUCUUGAAUACCGUGGAGGUCAGUAGAAUAUGUCAUGUAGCGGUGAAAUGCUUAGAUAUGACAUAGAAUACCAAUUGCGAAGGCAGCUGGCUACACGAAUAUUGACACUCAGGCACGAAAGCGUGGGGAGUCAAACAGG
rnacentral:rRNA from 1 species